CUCCAGUUUGUGAUUAUUCAGACUGAACGUGAUCACAGCAGGAUGAGACCGACUAGAGGGAGAAACCAUCUUCAAGUUUCCUCCCACAGCCUGAUUACUAAGUCAGCAAAAAUUUCCUCAGAUCACCUCUGAGCCAGCUCAUUGAUCGUCUGCAGAAAAAGACGAGCGGGGUCAAUACUUUCGUGUUUCCUUUUUUUUUAAGGAGACCACACACCACCCCAGGCUGACAUACAGCAUGGAGCAGGACCACCGGACAGCUGGAGUCAGGAGACCAAGGUUU